rnacentral:tRNA from 1 species
GGGGUUGUGGCUCAGCGGUAGAGUGCUCUCCUUGCAUGUGCGAGACCCUGGGUUCGACCCUCAGCACCACA